rnacentral:rRNA from 1 species
GAUAACCCUGGUAAUUCUAGAGCUAAUACAUGCAUCCAGAGCUCCGACUCUUGCGAGGAGGGGUGUGUUUAUUAGACCAAAACCAAUCGGAGUGCCUUCGGGUACUCUGUUCGCUUGGUGACUCUGAAUAAGUUUGGGCAGAUCGCACGGUCUUGUACCGGCGACGCAGCUUUCAAAUGUCUGCCUUAUCAACUUGAUGGUAGGUUAUGCGCCUACCAUGGUUGUAACGGGUGACGGAGAAUCAGGGUUCGAUGCCGGAGAGGGAGCCUGAGAAACGGCUACCACAUCCAAGGAAGGCAGCAGGCACGCAAAUUACCCACUCCCGGCACGGGGAGGUAGUGACGAAAAAUAACAAUACGGGACUCUUCCGAGGCUCCGUAAUUGGAAUGAGUACACUUCAAAUCCUUUAACGAGGAUCUAUUGGAGGGCAAGUCUGGUGCCAGCAGCCGCGGUAAUUCCAGCUCCAAUAGCGUAUAUUAAAGUUGCUGCGGUUAAAAAGCUCGUAGUUGGAUCUCAGUCUUGGCCGGGUGGUCCAUCUUGCGGUGGUACUGGUCGGGCCAGACAGUGUGCCGGCUC